rnacentral:rRNA from 1 species
AGAGUUUGAUCCUGGCUCAGGAUGAACGCUAGCGGCAGGCCUAACACAUGCAAGUCGAGGGGUAACAGGGAGCUUGCUCCGCUGACGACCGGCGCACGGGUGCGUAACGCGUAUACAAUCUACCUUUUGCUACGGGAUAGCCCAGAGAAAUUUGGAUUAAUACCGCAUAGUAUAUUGAGAUCGCAUGGUUUUAAUAUUAAAGGUUACGGCAGAAGAUGAGUAUGCGUUCUAUUAGCUAGAUGGUGUGGUAACGGCACACCAUGGCAACGAUAGAUAGGGGCCCUGAGAGGGGGAUCCCCCACACUGGUACUGAGACACGGACCAGACUCCUACGGGAGGCAGCAGUGAGGAAUAUUGGACAAUGGGCGAGAGCCUGAUCCAGCCAUGCCGCGUGCAGGAAGACGGCCCUAUGGGUUGUAAACUGCUUUUAUACAGGAAGAAACACCUCUACGUGUAGAGGCUUGACGGUACUGUAAGAAUAAGGAUCGGCUAACUCCGUGCCAGCAGCCGCGGUAAUACGGAGGAUCCAAGCGUUAUCCGGAAUCAUUGGGUUUAAAGGGUCCGUAGGUGGAUAAUUAAGUCAGGGGUGAAAGUCUGCAGCUCAACUGUAGAAUUGCCCUUGAUACUGGUUGUCUUGAGUCAUUAUGAAGUAGUUAGAAUAUGUAGUGUAGCGGUGAAAUGCAUAGAUAUUACAUAGAAUACCAAUUGCGAAGGCAGAUUACUAAUAAUGUACUGACACUGAUGGACGAAAGCGUGGGGAGCGAACAGGAUUAGAUACCCUGGUAGUCCACGCCGUAAACGAUGGAUACUAGCUGUUCGGAUUUAUCUGAGUGGCUAAGCGAAAGUGAUAAGUAUCCCACCUGGGGAGUACGUUCGCAAGAAUGAAACUCAAAUGAAUUGACGG